rnacentral:rRNA from 1 species
GACGAACGCUGGCGGCGUGCUUAACACAUGCAAGUCGAACGGAAAGGCCCUGCUUUUGUGGGGUGCUCGAGUGGCGAACGGGUGAGUAACACGUGAGUAACCUGCCCUUGACUUUGGGAUAACUUCGGGAAACUGGGGCUAAUACCGGAUAGGAGCUCCUGCUGCAUGGUGGGGGUUGGAAAGUUUCGGCGGUUGGGGAUGGACUCGCGGCUUAUCAGCUUGUUGGUGGGGUAGUGGCUUACCAAGGCUUUGACGGGUAGCCGGCCUGAGAGGGUGACCGGCCACAUUGGGACUGAGAUACGGCCCAGACUCCUACGGGAGGCAGCAGUGGGGAAUAUUGCACAAUGGGCGGAAGCCUGAUGCAGCAACACCGCGUGCGGGAUGACGGCCUUCGGGUUGUAAACCGCUUUCGCCUGUGACGAAGCGUGAGUGACGGUAAUGGGUAAAGAAGCACCGGCUAACUACGUG